CUGUGAUUCCGGCCGGCCAUGUGUGAGCUGUGCGGCCGCACAGAGCCCCAUUGGAGCAGGGGGAGCCAGGCAGCCGGCACAGCUCACACAUGGCCGGCCGGGAUCAUAA